rnacentral:rRNA from 1 species
AUUGAACGCUGGCGGCAUGCCUUACACAUGCAAGUCGAACGGUAACGGGCCUUCGGGUGCCGACGAGUGGCGAACGGGUGAGUAAUGUAUCGGAACGUACCUUUCAGUGGGGGAUAACGUAGCGAAAGUUACGCUAAUACCGCAUAUUCUGUGAGCAGGAAAGCAGGGGAUCGCAAGACCUUGCGCUGAUGGAGCGGCCGAUAUCAGAUUAGCUAGUUGGUGAGGUAGAGGCUCACCAAGGCGACGAUCUGUAGCGGGUCUGAGAGGAUGAUCCGCCACACUGGAACUGAGACACGGUCCAGACGCCUACGGGAGGCAGCGGUGGGGAAUUUUGGACAAUGGGGGCAACCCUGAUCCAGCCAUGCCGCGUGAGUGAAGAAGGCCUUCGGGUUGUAAAGCUCUGUCGGCCGGGAAGAAAUCGUAUCAGCUAAUACCUGGUGCGGAUGACGGUACCGGCAUAAGAAGCACCGGCUAACUACGUGCCAGCAGCCGCAGUAAGAC